rnacentral:rRNA from 1 species
UACGGAGGGGGCUAGCGUUGUUCGGAAUGAUUGGGCGUAAAGCGUCUGUAGGUGGCUUUUUAAGUCCGCCGUCAAAUCCCAUGGCUCAACUCUGGACAGGCGGAGGAAACUACCAAGCUGGAGUACGGUAGGGGCAGAGGGAAUUUCCGGUGGAGCGGUGAAAUGCGUAGAGAUCGCCUGGAACGCCGAAGGUGAAAACAGUCUGCUGGGGGUGUGCCGACGCUGAGACACGAAAGCCAGGGGAGCGAACGGG